rnacentral:rRNA from 1 species
UACGUAGGGUGCAAGCGUUGUCCGGAAUUAUUGGGCGUAAAGAGCUCGUAGGCGGUUUGUCGCGUCGAAUGUGAAAACCCGGGGCUCAACCCCGGGCCUGCAUUCGAUACGGGCAGACUAGAGUUCGGUAGGGGAGUCUGGAAUUCCUGGUGUAGCGGUGAAAUGCGCAGAUAUCAGGAGGAACACCGGUGGCGAAGGCGGCUUCUGGGACGGUACUGACGCUGAGACGCGAAAGCGUGGGGAGCGAACAGG